UCCAAAAUGGCGGCAAAAACACACAUACACACACAAAAGAGAAACGAAAUGUCAGAAUAUGCGGAAUAAAAGAAAAUGAGAUUGGUAGUAAAGGAAAGAGAAAUAAUUGGGAAAAUACAGCAAAAAAGCUUAAAUGAAUGAAGAAAACUAUUUGCUCUUGGAAAGUAUGUAAUAUUGCAACGCAAAAAAGCGAUUUUAGGCGAGGAAUAGAAAAAAUAAUACGGUUGCAUAGUGAAAUGGACUAUGAAAAGCAUAAAGAUGUGUUUUUGCAAGUAAGAAAACGAACAAAUAUAAUGCAAUGGUGGAAGUAAUAGGAUCACUUUUUGCGACGCUAUUAUGGCGUAUAAUGUGCUUCAAUCAACAUCCAAAUGGAUUAAAUUACGGCUAGAUAUUAGGAAAGAUGAUGGACUAUAGUGCUAAUGAAUUGGUGGAAAUGAAAUCGAUAAACUUUCCACUGGAAUCUCGAAAAAUGCAGCUUGUGAAAUUGUCUCUCAUCUGAGAAUAAUGCACUGGAAGUUUAUCAUCAAAUAUCACGGGUGUUUAUAUUGCAAUUGACGGAUAAAAUGGACAAUCGGAUAUUACAUCAGCGCCACGGAUUUUAUCGAGGAAAUCUAUGGAAUUUCCUUCAUUUAAAUUCAAUGCAAGUACUUAAGGCGAAUUAAAUGCGAUAUUGGAUACUUGUGACCAAGAGAAAGAAGGCGCUGAAGGAUCGUUCUUUUGGCAACGACAUUAGCAGUGCAUCUUAUUUUUAUCUGGCAAAGGAGGACGCUUAGUGAAAUUCUGGUACAUUAACGUAUCUUUGAGGAAUUUUAUAAUAAGAAAUCAUGGAAUUCGCUUGGCAUAAACGUAGCGAAAAAGUAUAAUGUAAUUUGUGCCUUUUACUUACCAUUAUUAUACCAUCAAAUUUGUCAUUAAAAAUUGAAAAAUAGUUUAUGUUUCAGCCA